UACGAAGGGGGCUAGCUUUGUUCGGAAUUACUGGGCGUAAAGCGCGCGCAGGUGGUCUUUCAAGUCAGUGGUGAAAGCCCGGAGCUCAACUCCGGAAAUGCCAUUGAAACUGUGAGACUUGAGGACGAGAGAGGUGAGUGGAAUUCCCAGUGUAGAGGUGAAAUUCGUAGAUAUUGGGAAGAACACCGGUGGCGAAGGCGGCUCACUGGCUCGUAUCUGACGCUCAGGCGCGACAGCGUGGGGAUCAAACAGG
rnacentral:rRNA from 1 species